AGCACGGGCCUGCCAUUGCAUGAAUGUGGAGAGUAGAGGCCAACUUGAAGUCAUCUGUAUGAUGAGACCUUGUGAGUCAAAGAGACAAAAUUCUCAUCAUAGUCCUAAGACAAUGGGGAGCCGGGCAUGUCUUCAAAAAGAUGGAAGGAGCUCACAGUGGAAGAGCAAAGAGGGCUAAAACACACCAAGGCCUAAGGAGGCAGCUCAGAUGAAGUUCUGCCCCUUGAACUCACUAUUUCAGCAAUUUCUGACAACCCACGGUGCAGUAUUUUGUUCUGAUAGUCAUCUGUCUUUAAUUUUGCCACUGUCACUGGCUUCUCUGCUCUCCUGCCUGCCCAAGCCCUGAUGUUUGCUGGCUUCCCAAACAUUUGUGACCUCAUCACCAGUGCCUCAUCCUUUAUGUCAACAUGGAAGGAUGGACAUUGCUAGAGGCAUACCUUCUGUGAAUCUACUUGGUAGGUAGAUCUAACCUUUAAGUGGGCAACUGAAGGUGCUGUUGGAGAGUGGAAAGCUCAGGUUGAGAUUGUGAAGCUCUGCUUUACACUGAGGUUCACAUUUAUAUUUUUCUUGGGUGAAAGGAGUGGCCCAUGACAACACCUGCUAGAACAUAACACCCACAAAUAAACUCUCAACCUAC